rnacentral:pre_miRNA from 12 species
AAUGCCUCUAAGAUUUUCAUCACCUAGGGAUCUUGUUAAAAGGCAGAUUCUGAUUUAGGGACCAAGAUUCUGCAUUUUUAGCAAGUUCCCAAGUGAUGCUAGCGCUGCUGGUCGGUGG